rnacentral:rRNA from 1 species
GACGAACGCUGGCGGCGUGCUUAACACAUGCAAGUCGAACGGAAAGGCCCUGCUUUUGGGGGGUGCUCGAGUGGCGAACGGGUGAGUAACACGUGAGUAACCUGCCCUUGACUUUGGGAUAACUUCAGGAAACUGGGGCUAAUACCGGAUAGGAGCUCCUGCUGCAUGGUGGGGGGUGGAAAGUUUCGGCGGUUGGGGAUGGACUCGCGGCUUAUCAGCUUGUUGGUGGGGUAGUGGCUUACCAAGGCUUUGACGGGUAGCCGGCCUGAGAGGGUGACCGGCCACAUUGGGACUGAGAUACGGCCCAGACUCCUACGGGAGGCAGCAGUGGGGAAUAUUGCACAAUGGGCGGAAGCCUGAUGCAGCAACGCCGCGUGCGGGAUGACGGCCUUCGGGUUGUAAACCGCUUUCGCCUGUGACGAAGCGUGAGUGACGGUAAUGGGUAAAGAAGCACCGGCUAACUACGUG